ACACCGUGGGCUGCGGGCGCGGUGGAGCCCGGGGACGGCCUGGUGUCCGGGGCCGAGGUGACACCGUGGGCUGGGGGGGCGGUGGAGCCCGGGGCCGGCCUGGUGUCCGGGGCCGAGGUGACACCGUGGGCUGGGGGGGCGGUGGAGCCCGGGGCCGGCCUGGUGUCCGGGGCCGAGGUGACACCGUGGGCUGGGGGGGCGGUGGAGCCCGGGGCCGGCCUGGUGUCCGGGGCCGAGGUGACACCGUGGGCUGGGGGGGCGGUGGAGCCCGGGGCCGGCCUGGUGUCCGGGGCCGAGGUGACACCGUGGGCUGGGGGGGCGGUGGAGCCCGGGGCCGGCCUGCUCUCCGGGGCCGAGGUGACACCGUGGGCUGGGGGGGCGGUGGAGCCCGGGGCCGGCCUGCUCUCCGGGGCCGAGGUGACACCGUGGGCUGCGGGCGCGGUGGAGCCCGGGGCCGGCCUGCUCUCCGGGGCCGAGGUGACACCGUGGGCUUGGGGGGCGGUGGAGCCCGGGGCCGGCCUGGUGUCCGGGGCCGAGGUGACACCGUGGGCUGCGGGCGCGGUGGAGCCCGGGGCGGGCCUGGUGUCCGGGGCCGAGGUGACACCGUGGGCUGGGGGGGCGGUGGAGCCCGGGGCGGGCCUGGUGUCCGGGGCCGAGGUGACACCGUGGGCUUGGGGGGCGGUGGAGCCCGGGGCCGGCCUGGUGUCCGGGGCCGAGGUGACACCGUGGGCUGCGGGCGCGGUGGAGCCCGGGUC
rnacentral:lncRNA from 1 species